rnacentral:rRNA from 1 species
CCUACGGGUGGCAGCAGUGAGGAAUCUUGGUCAAUGGGCGCGAGCCUGAACCAGCAAAGUAGCGUGAAGGAAGACUGCCCUCCGAGUUGUAAACUUCUUUUAUAAAGGAAUAAAGUGAGGCACGUGUGCCUUUUUGUAUGUACUUUAUGAAUCCGGAACGGCUCACUCCGUGCCAGCAGCCGCGGUAAUACGGAGGAUCCGAGCGUUAUCCGGAUUUAUUGGGGUUAAAGGGAGCGUAGAUGGGUUGUUAAGUCAGUUGUGAAAGUUUGCGGCUCAACCGGAAAAUUGCAAUUGAUACUGGCAGUCUUGAGUACAGUUGAGGUAGGCGGAAUUCGUGGUGUAGCGGUGAAAUGCUUAGAUAGAAGGAAGAACUCC